UUCAAUUAAUUCUUUAAGAACUUUCUCGUCCUCCUUCACAUUACGUUGUGAAAAUGCCUCUCUAAAUGACCGUUUCAUCAUAUCUUCCACCCUUAAAUUUUCAUUAUGAACUUUAAGAAGAUUUAAAAUCAUGCUAUCAACACUUGAAAGCAUCUGGGCAUUAUCAUCACAUUUUUUUCUGGACAACGUAAAACAAACAACUGGUAAUUUAUCAUGUUGACGAAGAUAUUCAAUUAAUCCUAUAAACAUUGUUUCGAUAACCUUUAGGUCCAAAUGAAUGUUGAUGUUUACUUGUUCUUUCUUGUUUGGCAUUUAAAGCAGCAUUGUAACUAGGAAAUUGUAUAAAUAAAUUUGAGAAAUAGAAUCAGAUUAAAAGUUCACAGAUUUAUAAAAAAAACAUAUACGGUGGGUGAUGGAAUAACAAACAGAUCAAUUAACAAACAAAUCGGAUAACGAACACUUUUGCGAAAGAUUUUUAUGAUCGCAUAACGAACACUUCACUGAACAAACAUAAAAAGAAGUGACGAAAAUAGCAAAUACUGAUUGAUUUUCCCUUGUCUUCAGGCAACAAUUCUAAGCUUUUCAGAGCACUGGAGACGUCAACAUUGACGCUCAACCCAGAAUAUACUCAUCAGAUAGUAUUCCUCCGAACUUUGAAACUCUCGCUUGUAAUUCCAGCCUUUUAUUUUUCUGACAGAAACAAUUCUUUUAUAGUAUUCACGAGACUGUCAGGCGGGUACUCAUUAAGUUUUGCAUCGAGUUUUAUUUUCGAAAGGUAAAAUAGCAAAGGUAGAGAGUGGGCAGAAGAUGUCUGAUGUUGCUGGGCAGUAUGGCUCAAACAAAACUAUGGUAGGAUGCAGUUCAGUCUUAUCUAAGAAAGAUACAGUAUAAUCAAGAAGACUCAAGCAGCUAAAGGAGUAACAAAAAUCACUUCUGAGAAAUAAAGAACAUUG